rnacentral:rRNA from 1 species
CUAGUUGAAUGUUUUUAAAACAUAGCGAACGGGUGAGUAAUACACAAGAAUCUACUUUGUUGUUUGAAAUAAUCCUAUUUUGUAAAAAAGAAUGUUAUGCAGCGAAAAUUUCAAAGGUAAACUACCGCAAUAAAAUGAGCUUGUGCAAGAUUAGGUUGUUGGUGAGGUAAAAGCUCACCAAGCCGAUGAUCUUUAGCUGGUCUGAGAGGACGGUCAGCCACAUUGAGACUGAGACAAGGCUCAAGCUUUUUAGCCAGCAGUGAGGAAUUUUGGACAAUGAGCGAAAGCUUGAUCCAGUAAUACUGCGUGAAUGAGGAAAGCAAAAAAGAUUUAUAAGAUUCAUUUUUUGUAAAUCGGUUGUAAAGUUCUCUCAUUGAUGAAGAUAAUGACUUUAGUCAAAGAAGAAACCCCGGCAAACUUCGUGCCAGCAGCCGCGGUAAUACGAAGGGGGUGAGCGUUAUCCAGAAUGAUUGGGCGUAAAGUGUUCGUAGGCUGUAUUUGUUGUUAUAAGUAAAAUUCUAGGUUUGUUGCUUAGAUCUGCUUAUAAUACUCUUUUACUUGAGUAUAAUAGAGGAUAACAGAAUUUCAUACAUAGGGGUAAAAUCUAAUCAUUUAUGAAGGAAUGUCAGUGGCGAAGGCGGUUAUCUGGAUUAUUUACUGACGCUGAGGAACGAAAGCAUAGGGAGCAAACAGGAUUAGAUACCCUGGUAGUCUAUGCUGUCAAAGAUGAGUGUUAAUGCUGGGAAUUUUUUCUGGCAUACAGCUAACGCGUUAAGCACUCCGCCUGGGAAGUACGAUCGCAAGAUUGGAACCCAAAGGAAUUGACGGGGGUCUACACAAGUGGUGGAGCAUGUGGUUUAAUGCGAUAAUACGCGCAGAACCUUACCAAUUCUUGAAUAUUUUUUAACAUAAAGUUAUUUUUAUUGAUGUUAUGUUAAUACGUUUAUUUUGUUA